UACGGAGGGUGCAAGCGUUAAUCGGAAUUACUGGGCGUAAAGCGCACGCAGGCGGUUGGAUAAGUUAGAUGUGAAAGCCCCGGGCUCAACCUGGGAAUUGCAUUUGUGACUGCAUAGCUAGAGUACGGUAGAGGGGGAUGGAAUUCCGCGUGUAGCAGUGAAAUGCGUAGAUAUGCGGAGGAACACCGAUGGCGAAGGCAAUCCCCUGGACCUGUACUGACGCUCAUGCACGAAAGCGUGGGGAGCAAACAGG
rnacentral:rRNA from 1 species